UAGAAAAUAAUAAUAUCAUAGGGCUUCACCACAGAAUUCUUCUUUCAUCAUAGAAUUCUUCUUUCAUCACAGAAUUCUUCUCAUUCUUUCAGUAGAAAUAAGCAAACAUUUUUACAAAACAUUCUUCGAGUUGGGGAACUAAUUCAAGUUAACCUCAUAAUCGAAUCUUCCUCUCUUCUCGAUCUCUGUGUUCUAUUCAUCUGAAUUUUUUAAGGUAUGCUCAUAAAUUCAUAAUCUUAUAUUUUUCUCUUGUUUUUUAAACUCUGUUUUGGUUUUCUAUUCAUCAGAAUUUUGUAUUAUUUCGAAAUUAUUGGAAUCUUUCCCUCUCGAUUCUCUAACUCUGUUUUGUCAUUCGAUUCACCUGAAUUUGUUUAAGCUUUACUCAUAAUCUCAUCUCUUGCGCUUGUUUCUAAACUCUGUUUUGGUUUCUAUUCAUCUGAAUUUUGUAAGAUUUCGAAAUCAAUGGAAUCUUUUGUUGGACCAACUUUCCCUCUUGAUUCUCUUACUCUGUUUUUUCAUUCGAUUCAUUUAAAUUUGUUUUAUGUGUGCUCAUUAUCUUAUAUUUUCCCUUGUUUCUCAAACUCUGUUUUGGUUUUCUAUUUGUCUAAAUUAUGUAAGAUUUCCAAAUCAAUCGAAUGUUUUCCCCUCUUGAUUCUUUUACUCUGUUUUGUCGUUCGAUUCAUCUGUAAUUUGAAGAUUUCUCCUUUUUUUUGUAAAAGAGUUGAUAUUCUUAAGAUUUCACUAAUGGGAUCCCUUUCUCUAAUAGAUACAUAAGCUAUUAAUUCUCUCUUGUUUCUUUACUCUGUUUUGGUGUUUGAUGCAUCUGAGUUUUUAAUUAUUUCUCGCGCUUGUAUUUCUGAUUAAAUCUGCUGCGUUAACAGAAAAAGGUGAAAGCUUUACACCAAAAAACUAACUCUUGUUUUGUUUUGUCUGCGAAAUCAUGCUUUUUUAUGAACUGUUUAUGCCUUUGUGGUUUUGAAUAAAGUUCCUUGAUCUUGAAACCUCUGCCAUUUAAUCGUUUUUCCAGCAUGUUUCUCCAUUUGAUUGUAAGGUAAAUAGUAAAUUGUAAGUGGACUUGAUCUAAUCGGAUUAUUGUAAUAAAAGGGAAACUGUGCAAUGAGUGAGUGUAGAAUAAAUGUAUGGAUGUGUGAGUAUUUGUUGUAAAUGGUUAGCCGGUUUGUGUAGUGUGGAUGUUUAAUUGUUGUACACAAAUCAUUUGUGUAGUCUGGAUGUUUAGCUGUUUGUAUUAUCGUGAAAUUGUUGUAAUUAGUCGAAUCACUUUCCGGUGGCUAACCGGUCAAGCGCAGCUACGUCUGUGUUUGUGUUUUCUUAUUCUAUAAUAAUAUGUAAAAUGCAGACGCAAUGCAGAGAAACAAUUGAAAAAUGGGAUUUUGUUUUUGCUCACAAAAUACAGUUCACACAUUGUCUCAUCAACCUAAUAAGAGAAGAGAAUGUGAACAAAAAAAAAAUGUACCUAAUAAGAGAAGGGAAUGUGAACAAAAAAAAAAUGUAUACCCGAGACUCGAGUCCAAAAAUAUAUAUAUAUUAUUUCUUUCUCUAAAUGAUGAAAGAGAGUGUAAAACCCCCAGGAAAAAAUUGUUAAAAAUUACGUUUUGCUUAAAUGUGGUUUUAGCAAAAACAAGGGUUCCAAACAAUUCAAAACUGAAUGAAUAUGGGCACAAACACAUACUAAAACUAAUCACUAAAACUUUAUCUUUUUACAGAGUGUGAUUUUGAAUAACCACCGGUGAUCGAGGCUUAUUCGUUGUGUUAUUUGUUGUUUGUCACGUACAACUACAAAAAAAUCAAUGGCAGCAUGGCACAUUGCCCAAGCAGACAGCCGCCACUAAUACGCUGUCGUAUCUGGUUGUUUGAUUUGUAAUUUUCUUAAUUAAAAUGGUUUUUUCAUUUAAUAAGCGCUUAUCAAGAAGUGCGACAAGACGAGACAGAGAUUGAUGACAGCCGGAACUAUUUAUCAGCGGAGGUGACUGACUAGUCCAGAGAAACGCAGCGUAUUAUGGUCCAAUGAGACAAUGACACAACUACAAAAUGUAUAUAUUUUUUGUUAAACUACAAAUUAUAUAAUAAAAUUCCAAC
rnacentral:lncRNA from 1 species